rnacentral:lncRNA from 1 species
UGAAUGUAUGCUUGCCCAAUUGAACUUUGCAUUGCUUGAUUUGCAUCAUGUUUCUUUGGAUUAAAUGCAUUUAGGACUAAUGUUGGUAUGAUGAAUAUGUAUAUAUGCUUAGAAUCAUAAAUGUGUAAUGUUUGUUAAUUGAUUGGAUGCUAUAAUAUGUUAUCAAUGCAGGAUUGUUGGCUUGUGGUCAUGGCUUCAAGAUAUGGCAAAAACAAGGCUUGGCAAGUGAACAUUCAAGGCAUGGCAAAAAACAAAACUUGGUGCAAAAGGUGGUUGCUCAUGAAUAAAUUUAGUGAUGGAAUCACAUGGAAAUAUGGGAAAUGAUAUGGAAUUCAAGUAGGCAUUAGGAUUAGGUAAUUAGAAUAGAUCAAUUGACUUUGGUCAAGUGGUUGACCAAAAAGUCAACUGUAGGUUAACUCUGUAUUUUUUUUUUCAUUUUUCUUGUAUAGACAAUGUAAAUGACAAAUAAGUUAAUGAAUGGACAAUAUUUUGAAUGGAAAUGACUCUUUUAUGAUUCUAAGAACACUGCCUUAUUUCUCAAGUUAUGACUUUUCCUUCCAUAAAUCCAUGUUUGAAUCAAUCUUUG